GUCUCUUUUGCUCUCACUCUCUCCUCUCACCCUCAAAUUGUGGUAAAAUAAACAUAACAUAAAAUUUAGCAUCUUAACCACUUUUAAGCACACAGUUCAGUAAAUCAAGCCUGACAUCACCUCUGGCCUUUGACUCCCUCUGGCCCACUUCCCCGUCCGCCCUCUCCAGCCAGACCACCAUAAAGUGCAGUUCCUCAAAGCUUCUGCAAAGCCUCCCAGCUUCCCAGUCAGGCCUGGCUCCAGUCUAAUGGAAGAGAUAAGAUCCCCUCUUUACUCCCUAACUGUGGGCAGCCCCAGCCUCCCAUCCCCUGCAAGGCAGGGCAGGAUGAUGCCACCGGUCCCAGUUUGCCAGCUGUAAAAUCCAUUAGGGAACAUCCAGCACAAACCACCCGCCUUCAGGCCUUUUCCUGCCCUCUGCCUGUCAUUCUCCUUGGCCCCCAGGGUGCAGAGGGUCCCCAGCUUCCUUCCCCUGAAGAUGCCCGGAGACAAGCAUCUUUGGACCCCCGGUCCCUGCAGGGAACUCCAGCCAGCUGCCUGAAGCAAACGGGGCCUGAGAGAUGGAAUUGGGUCAGGUCAUCCUUGACCCAUUUCCUCUGGAAGGGAGUCGGGUGUCAGGAAACACAUUUGCCUUUGGGUUUUUAAUGUAAUUCAACAAACCACAGCUGAAGCUCUUAUCCUGUGCUGGGCAUUGGGGGUGUGGAGUUCUGUCAUUCAUGACCGAGGACCUCAUCAUGAGACAUUAGAGGGGCUCAUCUUCCAGGUGAGCAAUGUGAAGAUAAUGAUAGAUGGCCCAAGGGAAUGUGCUGCUGGUGGUGACUCAUCUCAGAGCUGAGGGCAGUCCCUCAGGGAAACAUUUGGAUGCUCCGCUCUGGCCAUGUCCCAGGCGAGCUGAUGGGCAGAGAGUUCUGCCUGCUUGCCCAGGGAACUCCAUUCCCAGAGGCUACAGAGACUGCAACCUGGUAGAACCAGCCUGAAGCCCCCCUCCAGCCUGGGCUUUGGGGUCCUCAUUGCCCCAUGUUGUGGGUUUGGACCCACUUCAGCAUGAGCAAGGGUCUUUAUAUCUUUAAGCCUCAGGGUUCCAUCUCAAACAUGGGGGUAAAACAGUAUCAAACCCUGGGGGCAGGUGUCGAUGUGGGAAUUACAUAAAGCAAGGCUGCAAAGUGCCGCCCAAGGGGCUCAAGCACCCACGAGCACCAAACGAGCACAUUCUUUGUCUCCCUUGUCGGUGUUCCCUCUGUCCCGCCACCACUGGGCACCUCCCAGGGUCUCCUCGCCUCGUCUGCUGUCAGUACCUGCCCAUCCCUCCCGCUCCCAGCUUUUCUUUUUAAACACCCUCUGGGUGCUGCAUGUGCCUUUCCACAUGCAGAGAACGGGCUAAGAAAGAAAGGGGUGGGAGGGACAGGUAAGCAGGGAUAACUAAUUCAUCAACCGACCCACUGGUGGUCCUUUCUCCCUCCUCUCCUUCCCUCCUCUCUCUCUCUCUGACACACACACACACACACACACACACACACACACACACACACACACGCCACAGCGCCACCUUUCUCAAGUAGCACCUUAAAGCUCUGCAUGGCUGUUAAAGAGGCUGGAAACUAAAGUCAUAAGAAUAAUUGCCUGGCUCUCCUUUAAGCAAAGGAGAUUGCACUUGUGCUUGGAAGCACCAGUAACUGGGCUGUUACGUUAUAUUACAAGUAUAUUUAUAUGAAAAUACUGAAAAUAUCAAUUCUUUUUUAAAAAACAGUUAUGCAAACAAACAGACUUGAUGGCAUCAUUAUCAAAAUUUAAAAAAUAUAGGUAGAUAUUCCCACCCCCGCCCGCAUGUUCCAGCUUCUCCUUCCCCAACAUGUGGUAUAUGUGACAGGCUGCAUACAUGUUAUUGUUCUUGCUUUCUAGGGUUGACUGCAGACCAAGUCAACAAUACCACAAAAUCCCAUUGGAGGGAGCCAUUGCUAGGAAUUUUCCCAACUCCAAAUAGAACUCGUAUAUGAAAUUAUACAUACUGAGCAUUUACAUACAGAUCAUAUAAAAAUUCUAGACAUUAUUCCCUAGUCACAUGUAGUACACAUUUAGUAUAAAUAGACUAAGACAACACUGUAUAAAAAGUAAG
rnacentral:lncRNA from 1 species